rnacentral:piRNA from 1 species
UAAAAGAUUGCAAUUGUUCUGAAGAG